AGGACAGUUUGCAGUAGCUCUAGCCCUAAGACAGACACAUGUGCAGGACACAGCCACGGUAAAGGCUGCAGAACUUGCCAGCCAGUGGGUAGAUGAGGCUGAACCAAUACAUACUGGGUCUGCAUGUGGAAGAAUGAGGCUUGCAGCCAACGGCCGUCCACAUCUCUGAUGAGGAUCAGCACCUCAACUGUCAACUGAUGAAUCUGAGCUCAUUUGCUGAAGGGAUAAACCAACCAGUGAAUCUCAACUCCAUCCUUCUACCACUCGGGCCUUAACUCUAGUGCCAGACAAGAGAAAGGGAAAAAUUCUUGGAACCUCUAGAGCUAGCCACACUUGAAAAAGAGAAGAGCUAGAUGUCUUUUGAACCAUCCUGUCUGCUUGACCAGUAGGACUGCUCUGUAUCAGUGCCUAAGUCCCUCCCUAUGGGGUCUCCUUCUUGUCUUAGAGUCAGUUGAGGGGAGCCCCCAAUGCCUUUCUCCCUGUUGCUCAUGAAGGACACUACUGGUUGACCACAGCUCUUUCCCAUGCUGCUCUGGACAGCAGUCACAUCUUUGCCAUUAUGGAACUAGCUAGCAAUCAUGCCUCAUGCUGUCACCUGUAAGAAGGGAGAGUAUUUACUCCCAUAGCCCAUGAGCAGUGUCUACAGCUGUGGACUGUCCAGAGACUAGAUAACCAGUGAUUCAGAAGCCUGGCUGCAGAUCUGGUCGCUUGAAUAAAAAUGCCCCACGUGCCUAGAGGGGGUGGCACUAUUAGGAGGUGUGACCUUAUUGGGAUAGGUGUGGCCUUGCUGGAGGAACUUUGUCCUUGUGGGGACAAGCUUUGAUAUCUCAGAAGCUCAAGUCAGUUCACUUCCACUGCCUGUGGAUCAAGAUGUAGAACUCUCAGCUCCAUCUUCAGCACCAUGGCCGGACUGCUUCAUACUGCCGCGUUUCCCACCGUGAUGAUAAUAGACUAAACCUUUGAAACUGUAAGCCGGCCCCAAUUAAAUGUUUUCCUUUAUCAGAGUUGUCACGGUCACAGUCUCUCUUCAUAGCAAUAAAAAUCCUAACUAUGACA
rnacentral:lncRNA from 1 species